AAACCCUGGUUUCCCUUCAAAUCACGCAUAAAUCUUUCGCCCUUUACUAAAGAUUUCCAUGGAGGGGAACCAUUGAUGAGUCUAUGAACUAAUAUUAAAGGCAUACACGUACUGGCGCGUUA